rnacentral:lncRNA from 1 species
UGAAAUCCCAUCUCUACAAGAAAAGGAUUUUUUAAUUAGCUAGGCACGGUGGCAUGCACCUAUAGUCCCAGCCACUCAGGAGGCGGAGGUGGGAGGAUUGACUGAGCCCUGGAAUUUGAGGCUGCAGUGACCUAUGAUCACACCCUGGCACUUCUUUGGCCCUUGGGGGAGCUACUUGAACUUUUAAUGAUGCUGGAGUAAGAACUCCUCCUGCAGACUCCUGGGGCCCUGGGAGCCCGGCUGCCUUCCCUAGGGAAGUUAAGGAGGGAAGUCUGUUGUGAGGAGGAGGAGGAGGAAGGCAAACAGGGGAUUUUCGUCCUCAGAACUUCUCCAGGAAGACUCCCACCCCACACCAGCCGCUGGCGGCGGGGCAGGACCUUACAACUAUGAACUUGAAGAACUUCAGUCAGCUCAAACGGCCCCUUGGAAUCACCCAGACUCAGCCUUCACUGACAGAUGGAGAAACUGAAGCCAGAGAAGGGAAACACUUGCCUAAGUUCUCCCAGCCUCGUGCGCUAAUCUAUACAGCAGGUACUCAACAGAGCACCAUCCCUGCAGUGAGGGAGCCGUCCAGAGUGACAGCCUGAGAUCAAAAAAAAAAGAAGUGACAGAGACCUUCUUGGAGGCUUGACUGUAUACUGUACAUGAGGGUUUGCAAGACUGAUAACUUUAAGGACACUGUGGCUGUGUUUCCGGAUCCCCCGCUUCAGAAAAGCUUGUCAUUGUAUUUCUUCCUCAGGGUUGGGACUUCCUAGCCAAGGAAUGGGAGUUCUAGACCACACAGCUGAUGGGUAAGCUUUUUGAAACUCAUAUUAUUUAGCUUCGUGCCCAUACUUUCCAGGGUACACAGACUCAUGCACAUGCUUGUAAAUCAACAUUGCUCUGUGGGAAAACUUAUACACCAAUAACUGUGUGUGCACACGCUCAUGCAAAUAUGCACAGGUGAAUACAAGUUCCAGACAACUCACAAAUAUGUGCUUGUAGUAGCUGCAGGUGGUUCUUGGAAGUCCAGCCAUAGCAACCACAUUGUUUUCACUAAUUGGUGGCACCACCUAGUGGUGACACUGUAAAUAAAUCAGUUUUGUAUUCUGACCUGUCAAAAGUUACAGUAUCUGAUGGUUGUUUACAGAUCAUAAUUUGGACCCGUGCAUUUAAAUCCUCCCUAUUCCAAAUUCCUAUUGAAACAGACAAAGAGAUAAAAAUCCUAUUCCACUCUAGAAAUCAGUAAAAAAAAUCACAUUACUGGCCCAUAAACUUCAAGGAAUUUCAACAAGAUACAGUGCAAAUAGAACCAGGCUGAUGAGUAUAUUGACUAAAGAAGGACAUUCCUGGGAAAUAAUGGAGGAUACGCCCCAGGAGAGUCUCCCUAAAGCCCCGUAAUAGACAGCCAGGACUAGGAAAAAGGCUGAGAUGGGGAUAAGCGGGAAAAAAACUGAGCAACCUUGGGAAUUGCGAGUGCCUGCUCGCAGAGAAGGUGGCCAAGGCUCAGCUCCUCUUUUGGUUUGCACAGAAAAGCAAGGACAUUGGCCAGCAGGUUUCUAACCCAGGUGCUCAUGCCAGUUAGAGAAGGGGGGACAUUCUUCCAGCCGACCUUGAACUGCCUCAACAAACAGUGAGAAGAAGUUGCGCAGCAGAACAGCAAACUUCUCUCCUCUUCUCAGAAGCUCUUCCUGCCCUAAUCAUGGUCGAUUGGAUCUCCCAAUCUAGAAAACUAAACUAUAAAUAUUCCAUGUUUCUUCUUUUCCCAUUGCCUGGAACCAACACGUUUGAAAAUGAUCUACAUAUCUUUUAGAAUACCCAUUUCAAAUCUCAAUUCCAAACAAAUGUAGAUCUAGGUCCCUCCAUAAAGUGAGCAAAUAUAUGAUAAUUUCUAGACAUACGAAAAAAGAUGUAAGUUAUUAUAUCUUUAUCAUUAGGGUUACUAGAAUCUAAGAAACAAAAACAGUAAAAUUCUGUAAUUUAUACUGUAAAUAGAAUUCCAAAAGUCAACCCAUAUAUGAAUAUGGAAAAUAUGCAAAAACAGGAAAUUUAUUUUCCAAUUAAAAACCAAAUCUGGAAAGAUUGCUUUGAGAACUUUCCCUAUAACUCAGAAAUAAAUAAAUAAAUAAAGAGGCUAAAAGAGAGAGAAAGAAAAGAAAGAUCCAGAAAUCAAAUAUACCUAUAUAAUAGGCAUUCCAGAAAUAGAGAAUAGAGCCCGUGGAGAAACAAUCAUUAAAGAAAUAUAAAGAAAAUUUCCUGACUUGAAGAAUUAACUCUUUAGAUCAAAAAGUGACUUAGUACUCAGCAAACUAUCUAUCUAUCUGUCUAUCUAUCUAUCUAUCCAUCUAUCUAUUUAGAGACGGGGUCUCAUUCUGUCAACCAGGCUACAGUGCAGUGGCACAAUCACAGUUGGCUCACUGCAGCCUCGACCUCCUGAGCUCAAGUGAUCCUCCAACCUCAGCCUCUCAAGUAGCUGAGACUACAGGCGGAUCCCAUCAUGCCGGCUAAUUUUUUAAAAAUUUUUUGUGGAGACAGGGUUUUGCCAUGUUGUCCAGGCUGGUCUUGAACUCCUGGGUUCAAGCAAUCCUCCCAACUUGGCCUCCAAAGUGCUGUGAUUAUAGGCGUGAGCCACCACGCCCCGCUAAAGAAACUAUUUAAAGAGGCCAGAUCAUCUAGUUAUAUCCAGGUGAAAUUUUAACUUUAAAACAAUAAAGAGAAACCAAAUGGUACAACCAUCAUGGAAAACACUUUGAAUUUUCAUAUAAAACUAAACACACUCUACCAGCUGUUUACUGAUUCCGACUGUUUACCAGCAAUCACACUCCUUGGAAUUUACCCAAAUUAGCUGAAAACUUGUGUUCACACAAAAAUCUGCAUGCUUAUAGCAUGUUUAUAGCAACUUUAUUCAUAAUUGACAAAACUUGGAAGCAACUGAAAUGCCCUUCAGCAGGUGAAUGGAUAAAUAAACUGUGGUACACCAGACAAUGGAACAUCAUUUAGCACUAAAAAGAAAUGAACUCUCAAGCCAUGAAAGAACAUGGAGGAAACUUAAAUGCAUAUUGCUAAGUGAAAGAAGCCAAUCUGAAAAGGCUACAUAUGUGUGAUUCCGACUAUUUAACAUUCUGGAAAAGGCAAAACUAUGGAGAUAGUAGAAAGAUCAGUGGUUGCCAGGGGCUGGAAGGAGGCAGGAGGUAGAGCACAGGGAAUUUUUUAGGGCAGUGAAACUAUUCUAUAAAACACUAUGAUGGUGGAUACGUGUUAUUUCAAAAUUUGUCAAAAUCCAUAGAAUGUACAACACCAAGAGUGAACCCUAACGUGAACGAUGGCCCUUGGGUGAUGAUGUGUCAACAUAGAGUAGAUUACAACAAAUGUACCUCUGUGUUGUGGAACGCUGAUAAUAGCGAAGGGGGGAUUCAUAUGGGAAAUCUCUGUAGCCUCCACUCAAAUUUCCUGUGAACCUAAAACUGCUCUAAAAAAUAAAGUCUACUUUUUUAAAAAACAAAAGGGGUAAAUAAAAUAAUCCUACAAACCACAACAGGAGCUGUUUGAACUGUUUCAAAAAAUAAAGAGACCUUUUUUUAUUUUUUAAAUUCAUAUAACUUACUUUAUAAAACUAGCAUAACCCUGAUACCAAACCUAACAAUCAUAGCACAAAAACACUACAAAUCUCAGAAUUCUUUUUUUUUUUUUUUUGAGAUGGAGUCUCGCUGUGUCGCCCAGGUUGGAGUGCAGUGACGCAAUCUCGGCUCACUGCAACCUCCACCUCCCGGGUUCAAGCGAUUCUCCUGCCUCAGCAUCCUGAGUAGCUGGGACUACAGGCGUGUGCCACCACACCUGGCUAACUUUUUGUAUUUUUAGUAGAGACGGGGUUUCACUGUGUUAGCCAAGACGGUCUCGAUCUCUUGACCUCGUGAUCCGCCUGCCUUGGCCUCCCAAAGUGCUGGGAUUACAGGCGUGAGCCACCGCGCCCGUCCCAAAUAUCAGAAUUCUAACAAAUUAAUAUUAUAUCCCAGAACAUUGGGAGACGAAUACUCCAUAAAAUAAAUUUAUUCUAGGAAUGUGAGGGUGGUUUCAUGUUUUAAAAAUAUGUUGU